AAGGAAUAUUGGACAAUGCCCGCAAGGGUGAUCCAGCCAUGCCGCGUGCAGGAAGACGGCCCUAUGGGUUGUAAACUGCUUUUGCACCAGAGAAAACCCCCUUACGUGUAAGGGGCUGAUAGUAUGGUGAGAAUAAGCAUCGGCUAACUUCGUGCCAGCAGCCGCGGUAAGACGAAGGAUGCAAGCGUUAUCCGGAUUCAUUGGGUUUAAAGGGAGCGUAGGCGGUUUAGUAAGUCAGUGGUGAAAGCCGGUCGCUUAACGAUCGAAUUGCCAUUGAUACUGCUGAACUUGAGUACAGAUGCUGUGGGCGGAAUAUGACAUGUAGUGGUGAAAUACUUAGAGAUGUCAUAGAACACCGAUUGCGAAGGCAGCUCACAAAACUGUAACUGACGCUGAGGCUCGAAAGUGUGGGGAUCAAAC
rnacentral:rRNA from 1 species